rnacentral:rRNA from 1 species
GACGAACCGUGCGAACGUUGUUCGGAAUCACUGGGCUUAAAGGGCGCGUAGGCGGCUUGCCAAGUCGGGGGUGAAAUCUUUCGGCUCAACCGGAAAAGUGCUUUCGAUACUGGCGAGCUAGAGCGAGGUAGGGGCAGCUGGAACUUCCGGUGGAGCGGUGAAAUGCGUUGAUAUCGGAAGGAACGCCGGUGGCGAAAGCGAGCUGCUGGACCUCUUCUGACGCUGAGGCGCGAAAGCCAGGGGAGCAAACGGG